rnacentral:rRNA from 1 species
GACGAACGCUGGCGGCGUGCCUAAUACAUGCAAGUAGAACGCAGUUUCGCACGGGGGAGACACGCGUAGGUAUCUCCCUGGUAGAGGGGGAUAACUAUCGGAAACGAUAGCUAAUACCCCAUACUACCAGAUGGAACUGAGUUGUAUUAGUUAGUUGGUUAGGUAACGGCUCACCAAGGCAACGAUGCAUAGCCGACCUGAUAGGGGGAUCGGCCACACUGGGACUGAGACACGGCCCAGACUCAUACGGGAGGCAGCAGUAGGGAAUCUUCCGCAAUGGGGGGAACCCUGACCGAGCAACGCCGCGUGAGUGAAGACGGUUUUCGGAUCGUAAAGCUCUGUUGUUAGGGAAGCGGUACUUAACCAGAAAGGGACGGCUAACUACGUGCCAGCAGCCGCGGUAAUUC